ensembl:lncRNA TTTY7B testis expressed transcript, Y-linked 7B
GUGGAAGCAGAAGAAAAUGGUACACAUAGAGCUGGCUCGGUAUCCAGAAAUAGGCUGCCUGCAAUAAUGCACUGCGGGACCCUACAAUGCUCGAAGUUAGGGCGACUUCAAGCCGUCUCCCUGGUCAGCUCCUGCAGGAGUAGGAGGCAUUCAGAGACUGAGGUGGUCGCUGAAAUCUGUUCUUCUGAUUCCCUUUUGGAAAGAGGCUGUGUGCAAGAAUCCAGUCCCAUGGGGAUUGGAAUGUAGUCUGGCACCCUUCAGAUCCUUUUGGAACCUUACGGAUUUCGCGGUUUAUUCCUGGGGUUUGCUUGACGUAUCUUCCAGCUGGCUCUUGUCUGCUCUCCCCUAGGAUCGUGGGACUAUCCUGUGGAUCCCACAGAGAAGAGAGAGGACAGUCCACCACUGAUGCACCUCCACAGAGGUCUCCUUCUCCGCCAAACCUCACGGAAUUGUGACAUUCAUGGCGAAUGUGCGGGACCCCAUCCAUCCCUCACCAGCUUGUAUCCUCAGCUUUAUCUGAAGUUAAAAGUAUCUUUCCCAUAAUGAAAUCCAAAGAUGAUGGAAGAGUGCCCCCUCACGGUGUGGAGGUCCUGCUUGGCUAGCAACUGAAUAUGAAGUAAAUUCAAGGGACCCUGUGGACCGGACUGCUAGUGUUUCUAAAUGGGGUGUACACUGGACAAUAAAACACUGAAAGAUUUCUGUUCCUGAA